UGAGGUUAAGUUAACAAGGGCGCAUGGUGAAUGCCUUGGCACUAGGAGCCGAUGAAGGACGGGACUAACACCGAUAUGCUUCGGGGAGCUGUACGUAAGCUAUGAUCCGGAGAUUUCCGAAUGGGGCAACCCAGCAGUUUUAAUCAACUGUUACCACUAGAUGAAUUCAUAGUCUAGUUGGAGGUAAACGCUGUGAACUGAAACAUCUCAUUAGCAGCAGGAAUAUAAAGAAAUUUCGAUUCCCUAAGUAGCGGCGAGCGAACGGGGAACAGCCCAAACCAAAGUGCUUGCACUUUGGGGUUGUAGGACUGAACAUUUGAGUUACCAAAGAACUUGAUAGUCGAAGGAUUUGGGAAAAUCCGCCAUAGAUGGUGAUAGCCCAGUAGAUUAAAUCAAAUUCUCUCAGUUCAGGAUCCUGAGUACGGCGGAACACGUGAAAUUCCGUCGGAAUCCGGGAGGACCAUCUCCCAAGGCUAAAUACUACCUAGUGACCGAUAGUGAACCAGUACCGUGAGGGAAAGGUGAAAAGCACCCCGGGAGGGGAGUGAAAUAGUUCCUGAAACCAUGUGCCUACAAUAAGUCAGAGCGCGUUAAUGCGUGAUGGCGUGCCUUUUGUAGAAUGAACCGGCGAGUUAUGAUCCCGUGCAAGGUUAAGACUAAAAAGUCGGAGCCGUAGCGAAAGCGAGUCUGAAAUGGGCGCUUUGAGUACGAGGUUAUAGACCCGAAACCAGGUGACCUAUCCAUGUCCAGGUUGAAGG
rnacentral:rRNA from 1 species